rnacentral:lncRNA from 10 species
ACCCUCAGGCCUCCUCCUCCAAGGCAGGACGGAGCAGUGGUUAGGAUCACCCCAUCCUCCCAAAGCAAAGGCAUCCUCUGUUCUGGGAGCUGAGAGCACCAGGGAGCUUCCUCCUGCUGCCUGGCCCGGGCUUGGCCACCGGGCUCGAUUUAGCCGGAAGUGGCCAUGUGCCAGCUCCCAGCUGAGGGCUCUGGUGACCCUCCUGUGAAGAGCCUGCCUUGGAGGCUGCAGUCCCAAGGAGGAGGCUAGACUCAGCCCUCGUCCUCCAAUGCAGCUGCAAUGAGCCUGCUCCUCCUGCUGGUGGAAAAUGCAGGUGUUUCUGGAUGAGAUUCAGGCUGGAAUCCGUAGACUGAGCACAGCAGAUGUCCCUCCCCCAUGCGGGUGGGCCUCGCUCAAUCAGAUGAAGGCAUGACGAGGAAACUGGUUGCCUUGCAGCCGGGAGGGCGGCUGCUUUCCUGCUUUCAGAUUUGAGCUGGAACAUCAGCUCCACCCAGGUGUCGAGUCUGCUGGUGUCCGGCCUGAUUUGCCACCAUCAGCUCUCCCAGGGCUCCAGCUUACUGACUCGGUGCAGGUCUGCGGACUCAGCCUCCAUCAUUGUAUGAGCUAAUUCACUGCAAUA